AAAGCUCUUUUGUCCGGAAAGAGAUCCUAUUCGCUAAUACCGAGUGGGGAUGACGGUACCGGAAGAAUAAGCACCGGCUAACUACGUGCCAGCAGCCGCGGUAAUACGUAGGGUGCGAGCGUUAAUCGGAAUUACUGGGCGUAAAGCGUGCGCAGGCGGUUGUGCAAGACAGAUGUGAAAUCCCCGGGCUUAACCUGGGAAUUGCAUUUGUGACUGCACGGCUAGAGUGUGUCAGAGGGGGGUAGAAUUCCACGUGUAGCAGUGAAAUGCGUAGAGAUGUGGAGGAAUACCGAUGGCGAAGGCAGCCCCCUGGGAUAACACUGACGCUCAUGCACGAAAGCGUGGGGAGCAAACAGGAUUAGAUACCCUGGUAGUCCACGCCCUAAACGAUGUCAACUAGUUGUCGGGUCUUAAUUGACUUGGUAACGCAGCUAACGCGUGAAGUUGACCGCCUGGGGAGUACGGUCGCAAGAUUAAAACUCAAAGGAAUUGACGGGGACCCGCACAAGCGGUGGAUGAUGUGGAUUAAUUCGAUGCAACGCGAAAAACCUUACCUACCCUUGACAUGUACGGAACCCUGCUGAAAGGUGGGGGUGCUCGAAAGAGAGCCGUAACACAGG
rnacentral:rRNA from 1 species